CCUACGGGUGGCUGCAGUGAGGAAUAUUGGUCAAUGGACGAGAGUCUGAACCAGCCAAGUAGCGUGAAGGAUGUCUGCCCUAUGGGUUGUAAACUUCUUUUAUAAAGGAAUAAAACGAGGCACGUGUGCUUUUUUGCAUGUACUUCAUGAAUAAGGACCGGCUAACUCCGUGCCAGCAGCCGCGGUAAUACGGAGGAUCCGAGCGUUAUCCGGAUUUAUUGGGUUUAAAGGGAGCGUAGAUGGGUUGUUAAGUCAGUUGUGAAAGUUUGCGGCUCAACCGUAAAAUUGCAAUGGAUACUGGCUGGCUUGAGUGCAGGUGAGGUAGGCGGAAUUCGUGGUGUAGCGGUGAAAUGCUUAGAUAUCACGAAGAACCCCGAUUGCGAAGGCAGCUUACGGAACUGUGACUGACGUUGAUGCUCGAAGGUGUGGGUAUCGAACAGGAUUAGAUACCCGUGUAGUC
rnacentral:rRNA from 1 species